rnacentral:rRNA from 1 species
AGUGAACGCUGGCGGUAGGCCUAACACAUGCAAGUCGAACGGCAGCACAGUAAGAGCUUGCUCUUACGGGUGGCGAGUGGCGGACGGGUGAGGAAUACAUCGGAAUCUACUUUUUCGUGGGGGAUAACGUAGGGAAACUUACGCUAAUACCGCAUACGACCUACGGGUGAAAGCAGGGGAUCUUCGGACCUUGCGCGAUUGAAUGAGCCGAUGUCGGAUUAGCUAGUUGGCUGGGUAAAGGCCCACCAAGGCGACGAUCCGUAGCUGGUCUGAGAGGAGGAUCAGCCACACUGGAACUGAGACACGGUCCAGACUCCUACGGGAGGCGGCAGUGGGGAAUAUUGGACAAUGGGCGCAAGCCUGAUCCAGCCAUACCGCGUGGGUGAAGAAGGCCUUCGGGUUGUAAAGCCCUUUUGUUGGGAAAGAAAAGCAGCAGGUUAAUACCCCGCUGUUCUGACGGUACCCAAAGAAUAAGCACCGGCUAACUUCGUG